UUCACGGUAGCUCUGUUGGUAAAGCAUGAGACUCUUAUUCUCAGACUCAUGGGUUCAAGCCCUACGUUGGGCAAAA